rnacentral:lncRNA from 1 species
AAAAUCUAAAAUAAACAUGCAAAUGCAAAAGCUUUAUCAAUUGACAGAUAAAGAUAUGGAUGAAUGGUGUUGUUGGGGUUUACGGUUUCAUCCUAAUCCAAUCUCUUAUAUCUACUAUUCUUAUUUGUUAUCAAUGUUCUUGCAACUUUCUAAUUUACUCUGAACCCGAUGUCUCGGCGAAGAGAGCCUACUCCCAAUUACUAGUUUACUAUGUCUAGUCUCC